GGCUCGUUCAGACGCGGGUUCCCAUCCGCACGGCUAUUGGAAGCAGGUUUCCCUCAUCCCUUCAAGGAAGGCGUGGCUCCAUUUGCAAGUUAUACAUCUGUUCUACUCACGUGACAUUUCAGAAAAGCCUUAACAUCUGGGCAAGAUAAACUUCCUUCAGAUGCAGGGAAAACCGCCUGACAUCAUGAGAGCGGGACAAACGCUCACUUUGAAGGAUUCCUGGGCAGGACUUCAAGUGAAAUCAUAUGCCUGAGAAGAACUUGAUACUGGUCUAGAGAAAAUAACUAGCUCUGACUUUGCCAAACCGUGGAAUGUGCAAAAUGCUCUACUUUUUUGCAAGAGGCCAAGUGUCCCUUAAAAAGCUCCAUUAUGAAUAUGAGCCCGAGGAGCGAAGGGGCAAGAAGUUGGUGCCUUUGUUGAAUGUGGGGAAAAGCUACACAAGGUGUGUGCGUUUCUGCUGCGUAAGGUUAUUUCAUCAGUAGUCUGUUCUGCUUUGGGGAGGGUACCUGCAACUGUGCGCGAAUGAUUAUCUCGGCAUGUGCUCAGCGUGGAUAUGCACGAAAAGGGGAAAUACAUGGGAAGAAAAACUUACUGCUUUCUUAUGACUGAAGGCUAUCAACCAGAUAAAAAUAAAAACAAAAUAAUGAUUUGCACAAUAAACAACUUAUUCAACACUUUAGAAUUCAUCCAAGGCCACUGACUACAAUACUCUCCCCUUGCAAAUGCGUUCUGGAUUAAAGGGGAAGACCUGAGUCCAGCCACCUAACUAAAUGGAAAGAUUUAUCUUCUUACUGAUAGAACAGGUAUCGAUGAAUCUUUUAAGCAAAUGUAGGCAGCAAAAAUAAAAUGAAAUGAAGAAAAGUGAGAAGAAGUAAUGGUGGAGAAGAUAAC